AUCUAGCCCCGAUGGAAGCGGCAUCCUUUUUCUGGCUUUUUUAGACAGAAAAAGAUAUAGCGGACAGCGGGACAACUG
rnacentral:sRNA from 1 species